GAACGGGUGAGUAAUACAUCGGAACGUGUCCUGUAGUGGGGGAUAGCCCGGCGAAAGCCGGAUUAAUACCGCAUACGCUCUGCGGAGGAAAGCGGGGGAUCUUAGGACCUCGCGCUACAGGGGCGGCCGGUGGCAGAUUAGCUAGUUGGUGGGGUAAAGGCCUACCAAGGCGACGAUCUGUAGCUGGUCUGAGAGGACGACCAGCCACACUGGGACUGAGACACGGCCCAGACUCCUACGGGAGGCAGCAGUGGGGAAUUUUGGACAAUGGGCGCAAGCCUGAUCCAGCAAUGCCGCGUGUGUGAAGAAGGCCUUCGGGUUGUAAAGCACUUUUGUCCGGAAAGAAAACGUCCUGGUUAAUACCCGGGGCGGAUGACGGUACCGGAAGAAUAAGCACCGGCUAACUACGUGCCAGCAGCCGCGGUAAUACGUAGGGUGCAAGCGUUAAUCGGAAUUACUGGGCGUAAAGCGUGCGCAGGCGGUUCGCUAAGACAGAUGUGAAAUCCCCGGGCUUAACCUGGGAACUGCAUUUGUGACUGGCGGGCUAGAGUAUGGCAGAGGGGGGUAGAAUUCCACGUGUAGCAGUGAAAUGCGUAGAGAUGUGGAGGAAUACCGAUGGCGAAGGCAGCCCCCUGGGCCAAUACUGACGCUCAUGCACGAAAGCGUGGGGAGCGAAUGGGAUUAGAUACCCCAGUAGUCCUAGCCGUAAACGAUGGAUACUAGGCGUUGUGCGUAUCGACCCGUGCAAUGCUGUAGCUAACGCGUUAAGUAUCCCGCCUGGGGAGUACGUUCGCAAGAAUGAAACUCAAAGGAAUUGACGG
rnacentral:rRNA from 1 species